rnacentral:rRNA from 1 species
GACGGAGGGGGCGAGCGUUGUCCGGAAUUACUGGGCGUAAAGCGCACGUAGGCGGUCGCCUACGGCGGUGGUGAAAGCUCCCGGCUCAACUGGGAGAGGUCCGCCGCAACGGGGCGACUCGAGGGUGGUAGAGGCAGAUGGAAUUCCUGGUGUAGCGGUGAAAUGCGUAGAGAUCAGGAGGAACACCCAUGGCGAAGGCAGUCUGCUGGGCCAUACCUGACGCUGAGGUGCGAAAGCCAGGGGAGCGAACGGGAUUAGAUACCCCGGUAGUCCUGGCCGUAAACGAUGGAAACUAGGUGUCUGCGGUAUCGACCCCGCGGGUGCCGGAGCUAACGCGUGAAGUUUCCCGCCUGGGGAGUACGGCCGCAAGGUUGAA